AACCUUUACACUGCACGACAGUGCGAUAGGGGGACUCCGAGUGCGAGGGCAUAUAGCCCUCGCUUUUCUGUACCGUAAGGUGGUUCAGGAACAAGGACUGGGCAAGACCGGUGCCAGCCGCCGCGGUAAUACCGGCAGUCCGAGUGAUGGCCGAUAUUAUUGGGCCUAAAGCGUCCGUAGCUGGCCGCACAAGUCCGUCGGGAAAUCCACUCGCUUAACGAGUGGGCGUCCGGCGGAAACUGUGCGGCUUGGGACCGGAAGAUCCGAGGGGUACGUCCGGGGUAGGAGUGAAAUCCCGUAAUCCUGGACGGACCACCGGUGGCGAAAGCGCCUCAGGAAGACGGAUCCGACGGUGAGGGACGAAAGCUCGGGUCACGAACCGGAUUAGAUACCCGGGUAGUCCGAGCUGUAAACGAUGUCUGCUAGGUGUGACACAGGCUACGAGCCUGUGUUGUGCCGUAGGGAAGCCGUGAAGCAGACCGCCUGGGAAGUACGUCCGCAAGGAUGAAACUUAA
rnacentral:rRNA from 1 species